rnacentral:lncRNA from 1 species
AGACUUUUAAAUAUUCUUUACCUUAUACAAUAAUUAUUCUUUAAUUGGGAUGAUAGGGAGUGGCUGUUCUUUGAUGGAGAAAAUUGAUCUUUUUGAAGAAAAAAUCAUCUUUUUCCUGUGUAGGAUCUUCCAGAUUUCAUUAAAUCUGGGACGAAAUAAAUUAAAAUCAUUUUUAUCCUACGCUAUUUCAGAUAUAAUGUUUAUUAGAUCUAAUUUUAUUAUCUAAUAUUUAAAAUCUAAAAUUAAAUCUAAAAGUAUGAGAAAUAUAGACAUACUUCAAGGGUAAUCUAAUUAUCCUGUAG